GGGACAUGUCAUCCCCCCAGGGGGCGAUUUCUCACUUUCCCUCUCACUGUCUCUGUCUCCAUCCAGCGAGUGCAUGAACCCUAUGGCAAAAACCUUAAAAAGAAAAAAGAAAAAGAAAUACUAACUUUAGUGACAUGAAUCCCUGGAACUUGUCCCCUAGGGCCUCAAAACUAACUAGAAAACCUAAAUUUUGCCCUAAAGGGGAAAACUCUCAAGUCCAAAGACAGUUUCUAUGACUUGCUUUUACAACGGGCACUGCUCUGAAAAAGUGAUUUAUAUUAACACAUAAUAUUAUGGAAGUUGUUCUGUGGUAAAAAUUAGUUAUCGUGUAAUGGUAUCAUGCCCAUAAAUCAUUCUUCUAAAGCAAACAAGCAAAUUAUCUAUCAUCAUGAAAGAUGAACUAUGAAAGACACAAAAGGAAAUUUGAAAACUUGAAAAUGUAAAAAAUAGGAAUAAUAAAAUAGAAAAUAACCUAAAGAAGUUAUCUUAGGUAAUAGAUUUUUUUAAUUAUUUGUACAUUUAAAAAUAUAUAGCUUUAUGCUUUAAAGAAAAUCAUUUUAUUCAGGAGAAGACCCAGAGCUAACAACACACUGCUUGUUUUUAAAAAUGAUUUUUGAAAUGGUGAACAGAAAACUGACAUGUCUCUGUUGAUUGCACUUAUACACAGAAAGAAAAGCAUUUUGGGGCUGAAAAGUAAUAAAAAUUGUGACGUUUUGAAAUGUGUUUUUCUAAAUGAUAGUAAAAGGAAGUGAUGAAAAGCCACGAGAACUGAAUGAAGAAACAAAAAUCUUUGUGUCAACUGUGACCUGAGCCACUGCUGAGACCAGAUGUGUAUACUGCGUCCUGGUUCCUUUACAGAGCUGAGGUAGGUCUGCUGGCCAGCAGGCCAACAAAGCAGUUCCAUGAGGCACCACUGGUUCUGCAUGGUGUAACCUAGUAUCUAAGAUGUAGAGUACAGAAAAAAUGCGAUACGGUAUAGUCUUUUCUUCCAUUUUCUCUACUCUUAUACUGGAUUGAGACUCAUAAUCCAUUCACUAUGCUUU